rnacentral:rRNA from 1 species
GUGUCAGCAGCCGCGGUAAUACGAAGGGGGCUAGCGUUGUUCGGAAUUACUGGGCGUAAAGCGCGCGCAGGCGGUCUUCCAAGUCAGUGGUGAAAGCCCGGAGCUCAACUCCGGAACUGCCAUUGAAACUGUGAGACUGGAGUACGAGAGAGGUGAGUGGAAUUCCCAGUGUAGAGGUGAAAUUCGUAGAUAUCGGGAGGAACACCAGUGGCGAAGGCGGCUAUCUGGACGAACACUGACGCUGAAGUUCGAAAGCGUGGGGAGCAAACAGGAUUAGAUACCCUGGUAGUCCACGCCGUAAACGAUGAGUGCUAGGUGUCGCGGGUAUUGACCCCUGCGGUGCCGCAGUUAACGCAUUAAGCACUCCGCCUGGGGAGUACGGCCGCAAGGCUAAA